rnacentral:rRNA from 1 species
AUGUUUUUGAUAAACAGGCGAAUAUAAAAUUUUGCUUAAUUCCUUAAUUAUAUAUAUAUAUAUAUAUAUAUACUUUUAAUAUUACUAAUUUAAUCAUUUUAAUAUAAUAAAUUAAUUUAAAUUAUUUUUUUUUUAAAAAAUAUAUUAAAUUUAAAUAAUUCUAUUUUAAUAAAUUAUUAUAUAUUCAUUAAAUUAUUUAAAUUUUAAAAUUAAUUUUCAUUACUAUUAUAUUAUAAAAAAUUAUAUAUAAAUUUAUAGUUUAACCCAUAAAUUAUUUAUAUUUUUAGAAAAUAAUUUUUUUAAAAAUAAAAAUUAUUUUUAAAAAUAUCUAAAUUAAAUUUAAUUCAAAAAAAACUAGAUAUAAUUAAAAUCGAAUAACAUUUAAUUUCUAAUUAUAUAUUCAUAAUUUUAAUUUAACAAAAAAAAUUUUAUAUAAUUUACUCUUUUAAUUUCGAGAAAUUUAUUUAAUUAAUUUUUUUUUAAUUAACCCUGAUACAAAAGGUACAAAAUUUUAUUUUAUUUUUAAAAAUUUUAUAAAUUUCAUUUACAUUACUAUUUUUAUAAAUAAAUUUAUUAUUUUAAAAUUUUACUUUAACUUAAAUUUUUUUUAAAUAAUUUUUUUUAAAUAAUUUUUUUUUCUUUAAAAAUUUUUUAUUAUAUAA